UAGAAAUCUUCUAUUGAUUAGUUCGAAGCAAAAAAUGAUGAUGCAACAUUUGUCUUUUUUUUGGGAUAUUCUCUGAUUCCAGGAAGAAAAGUGGACCCACUUGUGAUCAUUCUUGGGGUAUUGUUGGCCUGCUGCAUACUUGUGAAUAUCUUUUUGAUAAGAAGGCCAGUUUGUGAGCACUGCAAAGGAGAAGUGAGAGCUUCCAGUAAUACUCAACAGGACGGAUCAGCUGCGGAUCAACCAAUAAGUGGGGAUGGUGAUGAACUCGGAAUACAUUUUGAAUCACUGAACCUCCACUCAAGAAAAGCUAAAAGAUGGAUGAAUAACAAGGAGUUUUCAGAAUGUAUAUAUUUCAGGACAAAGACGGACAAUCAGUAAAGACAACUGAGCAACUGAGAAGUGCAUACGGACAAAUUACCAUGGUACUGUAUGUUCACAUAAAGCAUUACCAUUUUCUGAGGUUGUUUGAGCAGGAUAUAGUCUAGUCAGUGUAUGCCAAUAUAAUAUUAGUUUUUAUGUAUUUUUUCUUGUGUGGCUGAUCUUAACAGCCCCCCAAAAAGGGUGUAUUAAGAACAAAUCAAUCAAACUUUGUUGUAGAACAGCUGAUGUUGAAUUGAUCAAGUGGCUGCAUCGCCCCUGCUAAUUUGAUGCAAACAGGAAGUGGCUUUAGAUUGACUUGACUGGCCUUGCUCCAAAUUCAAGUUAAUCUGCAUUGACCCUUUUUGUUAAAAUGUCCAACUUUUCAUCAUAAAUAAACAUAUUUACAGCUUGCUUCAAACAUGAUGUUGGUC